CGAGGACGAACGCUGGCGGCGUGCUUAACACAUGCAAGUCGAACGAGAAUCUGUGGAUCGAGGAUUCGUCCAAGUGAAGCAGAGGACAGUGGCGGACGGGUGAGUAACGCGUGAGGAACCUGCCUUUCAGAGGGGGACAACAGUUGGAAACGACUGCUAAUACCGCAUGAUACGUUUUAGGGGCAUCCCUGAGACGUCAAAGAUUUAUCGCUGAAAGAUGGCCUCGCGUCUGAUUAGCUGGUUGGUGAGGUAACGGCCCACCAAGGCGACGAUCAGUAGCCGGACUGAGAGGUUGACCGGCCACAUUGGGACUGAGAUACGGCCCAGACUCCUACGGGAGGCAGCAGUGGGGAAUAUUGGGCAAUGGGCGCAAGCCUGACCCAGCAACGCCGCGUGAAGGAAGAAGGCUUUCGGGUUGUAAACUUCUUUUAAGAGGGAAGAGCAGAAGACUGUACCUCUAGAAUAAGCCACGGCUAACUACGUG
rnacentral:rRNA from 1 species